UACGUAGGUGGCAAGCGUUGUCCGGAUUUACUGGGCGUAAAGAGCGCGCAGGCGGUCGUUCAAGUCGCGUGUGAAAGCCCCCCGGCUUAACUGGGGAGGGUCACGCGAUACUGAUCGACUCGAAGGCAGGAGAGGGUAGUGGAAUUCCCGGUGUAGUGGUGAAAUGCGUAGAGAUGUGGAGGAACACCAAUGGCGAAGGCAGCCUUCUGGGCCAACACUGACGCUCAUGCACGAAAGCGUGGGGAGCAAACAGG
rnacentral:rRNA from 1 species